rnacentral:lncRNA from 1 species
AAUAAAUUACCUUCUUGUACAAUCCUUUUUUUUUUUUUUUUUUUUUUUUCCUCCUGACAUGGAAGAAAGUUGGAUUAUGUUGGGGGUGGGAAGGCCACUGUGCCAUUGCAUUAGCUGAAGGAUUACAACACAGACCUGGGAGAGUUGUGACCCAAGUCAGCCAAGUUACGUGAAGCACUAAUCUCUGAGGAUGGGAUGUCCUUGUUGUCCUCCAGAGGACCAAAGGAGUGGACAGGGAAGUCUCAAAGGCAGGGUUUAGGUGAUACCUUCUGAUGAUGGGUUGGCCAGCUAAUAGUGUGCAGAGUAGAGGUUUCUCCAGAGCCCUCUAUACAUGCUGCCCUUUCCCAGGUCCUGCACUGAAAUACUUCUGGUCUGUAGGCUGCGGGGCCCUUUGCUGGACUCAAUAAAUGUCAUUGACUGCAUUUAAAGAGGAAGACAGGGAGGUGGAACCAAGUCAAAAAGAGAUCAAACAAUUGGAAUUUUGGAAGGACAAGGUCGUAAGAGUGAGGCCUCCUCCUGGUCAUCUGAGAUGAGGACAAGUAGAAGCUGAAGUGCGUCCAUCCCAGAACAACUGUGAAUUAAGUCUCUACAAUCAAUGACAAUUCUGGCAUUGGAAACUGGGGCAGAAGCUACUUUUUCCAAGUGAUCGAGUUACCACAGUGUAAAGAUUUUCCAAGGCAGUUGCAACAGCCUGAGAGCAUCCCCACAGGAAGUUACGGCUCAGUUGGCACAUGGUAAACCAUGAAGCUGUGUUACAGGUUGAGAACAGGGUGAACUCCUCAAGAAAGCUGUGCAUCGCAGAACUGAUGAGUGAACAAAAUAAGCAUUCCUUAGAAAGGAAACAAAAUUUGAGCAUGUUUUGGUUAGUACUGCCAGUAUGUUCCAUGGUGUGAAAGACCUAUGGGAUAACUAGUUAGAUAGGAACACCUUCUGGCUCUGUCACACUGCGUGUGAUACUUCCUUGGAGCCCUAGCAC